GGAGGGGUGACUCAGAGGGCGGGGGCGGCCCUAGAGCCGCACCUCCGCCCCGGGCCCCGUCUGCCCCGCAUCAACCAUCCCCAGGGCCGCCUCCGGGAGGGGCGGGGCCGGCCGGCAGGGCAGGUGAGGGCGGCCCCGGGAGGGUGCGUUGGGAAGCUUCUUUGUUGAUCGUCCGGCCCCGCCCCAGGCCUGGGCGCGAGCUGCAGGAGCUGAGUCACGGCCGACUGCUGGGUGCGUGGCCACAUGGCCCCAGGCGGAAGAGUGCGUCCCUUUCCUGAACCUGGCGUGUCUCUUGAGGAAGCCAAAGAGACAAAAGCCAGGGAGCGGUGGCUUCUGUUCUACAAAGCUCACUACUCGUAACCCAUAACUGAGGUCACCCCAGCACUCGCACAGCCCUGAGCAGGAACCACCGUCCGUCCGCCACCUCCAUGCCACCUCCAAAGGGAUCAUGAUUUUGAGGCUUGAGGCAAAGCUCCGCGACGGACUUGCAGUGACAUGGUCCAGGAAGGUUCCUCUAGAGCUGCCCCAUGUCCCCACACCUGCCUGAGAUGCUUGGCAGACCUCCCUUUGGGUGUCACUGAUUUUGAGGACGUUCCCCUGAACAUAUAUGUAUUAACCACAAAUGAGCGCUGCUGAAUGAUCCUGCCUGGCUCUGAAAGCCUCCAUCUCAGACAGACAAAUGAGACUCCAGCCUUGUUCUGCCUGAGCUCCAGCAAAAGCAAGAGAUCAGAGGCUGCCGUCUUGUUGGAGAAGCCGCCAGGAUCCGGAUCACAAAGCACUGGGGGCAGUGGAUGUCUUUAGCAGUUUCAGGGCCUGUGAACCUGCUCUUGAAAUGCGUCCCUUUGAGCUCUAGUCCGCGAAGCCCCUCAGGAAUUGGAGUGAUGGCAGUGACUGGCCGUGUGCCGUGGCUGCGGGGAUGGCUAGGUGAGGCCUAUGGCCUGGGAAGAAGUCAUCCCAGCGUGCGAGGAGGGAGGAGCGGGGAGCUGGGGCUUUCUGCGGAGAUCGCUGCUGCCGCCGUGAUCUGUGGUGGAGCAGUGGCUGGGACUCGGGCUCCAAAGCCUCCGAGCUGGAUCCAAGCGGCUAUGCCUCGUACUGCCGUGUGGCCUGGGGCGUCACAUGGCCUCUGGGGGCCCAGUGUCCUCAUCUGUCCUCGGGGAUACUGAGAGCGACCUCGUGGCUAAUGGUUAAAUAAGCUACUGUGGGUAGUGUGUCUGGCACUGAGUAGGUGCUCUGCAAAUGGAAGACGUUAUUGCUGUUAUCACACAAAUUAUAGCCAAAACAUAAGUCAGUGACGAUGACUAGCCCGCUGUUCCGUCUGAAAUGGGUUACCGAUCUGGCGACCCUAUUUCUGGUGUCCCAGGGACCCCCACCCCCACCCCUCUACCCAGCCCUGCCGUCCUGCCGCCCAGGGUCUUUCUGACUGUCCCCAGCCCUCCCUCCUCCCACCUCUGUCCCGGCCUGGCCCCAGCUUCCUGUCACCUGGACUCCAUCCAGUCUGAAAGGGCAAGAGCGCACGCGGCGAAACCAGGAGGAUGCAGCCCCUGGAACCCCCGCCCUUCCCUGUAUCCUAUGUUUGUCUGCUUCCAACUCUUGGCCAUCUUGGGUCUCCAGCUGCUUCUCACUUCCUAUCCCUUUGUUCUAACUUUUCUCUCUCUCCCCAUUCCGUGGUUCCCCAUGGCUCUCAUUAAACUCUAAUUAAACGAUGCAGCAAGUGGCAAUGACGAUACCCUCUCCCAUCCAAGUGCUCAUCAAAGGGUUGUGCACGACACACCGGAGACACGGGAUGAAGAGAGGCCUGGGCGCUGGGGUGGGGGUGGGCGUGGGGGGCAGCAGGGGCGUUCCUUAUGCGGCCAUGACCUGACACCAGAGACAGAGGGAAGGUCUGAGGGCUCGCUGUGUGUCCUGGGAUAAUUCUGUUUGUCCAUCUGUCACACCAGGACAGGAAUCCUCAGUUCUGUACACCCAGGAGUAGAGGGAAGGUACGAGAUACUUAGCAAAGAUGACCAUGAAAGUCCUGGUCACCAUCCACUCCACCAAGGACUAGUGAUAAUAACUAGCGUUCAGGGAGGGAGUCCUAGUUGAAGAGCCUCUCUCCUAAACUCUCUUGAACCUCACAACCACCCCAUGAAGCAACAGAGAAAAAUGGCACCAUUAACCCCAUUUUACAGGUGAGGAAACUGAGGUCUUGAGAGUUUAAAUGACUUGCCUGGGGCCUAGGCCACAGGGCUGAUCCCCGGAACCAUUUUCCCAUCCCUUUCCGAGAUCCUUUUCAUUUUGUGCACUCAGCCUCUGCCCCGCCCGUGAGUCCCUCACUGCACCUUCCCCGGGCUGGCCCUGGGUGCUGGCAGCUUGGAGAGUCAUAUGCUGAGGACUGUGGCCACCACAGAGCCCGGCCUCAGGCAGGCCCUCCCCUGCUCCACAAGGCUUUUCCCACGCCUGGCCUGGCCUCCCUUCGUUCCCCUCAGCAACACUUCCAGAAGGGCCCUCCCCCACCCCCCACCCCGUCAUCCCCUCCCACACUCCUUGCCUCCUGUGGCUCCUGGCAAUCAUGGUCCUGAGCAGGAAGAGCCUUUAGGCCAGCCCCAAGCCCGGAAGCACACCUGCCUCCACCCCUUUUUGUUUUCUCCUCUUCAGUCUUAAGGCUGCAGGAGGCCCCCUCCUCUCCCUUUUGACCUCUCUCCCUCCUGGCCCUCCAGGCUCCUUCUGCAUCAGUGGUCAACCUUCUCUUCAGAAUUUCUGGCCUCUCCUCUGCACUGGCGCCCCCAGCCCAGCAACAUGCCGUUGUCUCUCCCUUCUUCUUUGCCACGGCAUUUUCAUGCCACUUCCCCAUUUGACCUGAAUUCUUAAAAGGAUAGUUCACACCAGGGUUUGUCGACCUCAGCACUAUUGCCAUUUGGGGCCAGAUAAUUCUUUAUCGUGGGGGCCAUCCUGUGUGUUUACCUCAAUUUUCUUGGGCUGCCAUCACAAAAUACUAUGGACUGGGUUGUUUAAAGACAGAAAUUUAUUUCUCACAGUUCUGGAGGCUGCAAGACCAAGGUCAAAGUCUGGCAGUUGAGUUUCUAGUGAGGAUUCUGCUCCUGGCAUGCAGACAGCCACCUCUUCUUCAUGCCCUCGCCUGGCCUUUCCUCUGAGUGUGAGGAGAGAGGGGCAGCAAGCUCUCUGAUGACUUUUCUUAUAAGGGCACUAAUCUCGUCAGACCAGAGCCCCACCCUCAUAACCUCAUCUAACACUAACAACUUCCCAAAGCCCCAUCCCCCCUGCCACCAGAAUACUGUCACAUUUGGGGUUAGGGCUUUAACAUAUGAAUUUCUGGGGAACACAAACAUUCAGUCCAUUACAGAGCUGUAGGGUGUUUAGCAGCGUCUCUGGCAUCUACCCACUAGAGAUGCAUUCCUUUCAGUUUGGAAAGAUGGUAAAGGACACUAGAAGCCAGUAGUGAGAGUUACGAUGCACACCUCCCCACCCCGAGUCGUGAUCGUUGUUGACAACCCCAGUUGUGACAACAAAAAAUGUCACCAGACCUUGCCAGAUGUUCCCUGGAGGACAAAAAUCUCCCCAUGCUGAGAACCACUGGUUUACAUUAUUUAUUGUAUUUUCUUAUCCCAGGAUAUCCAAGAUAAUUGAAUUCACUCCUCAAUUCACUUGUAAUUCAGUGUCUACUCCUUUCCCAAUCUACUGCUUUAGUUAACACUCACUCUACCCUGUAUUGUAAAAUCAUUUGUGUUCAUGGCGCUGAGUCACACUGCUCUAGUGGAAUAUUUACCACUCUCUACUUCUGGAACCUAUUCUGGCUCCGGAGGAAAGCCCUGUUAGUCGCCCUCCUGAUUGCCAGCCUUUCUCCCGCCUUCUUCCUGUAGUUAGAUCUGUUUCUACGGUGACUGAAAUACUAGUUAUUCAAGUGACCAUCUUCCUUGCAGCUGGGGCUAGGUAAUGGCAUCUGAGGGAGAGUCUACCUGCGAGAGCUUCUAGGAAAGAUUUACUUUCUGAGAAAGGGGAAGGAGGGACACAAAGAAAAAGCCACAUUAUUGGUUAAAAGAAAAAAGAAAAUUGAUGUUGAAGUGGCUGCAGCCAUCUUGCAAACAUGAGGAAAAGCCAAGGAGAAGCCUGACUUAUUGAGCCACUGAAUCAACCCUGGAAUUGCCUACUUCUGGACCUCUUGUGAGAGAACUAAUGUUCUUAUUACCUAAGUCAAUUUUAGUCAGCUAUUCUAUUACUUGUAGCCAGCAGUAUCCUGACUGAUCCAGCUUCUAAGACUCUACUCUGUCCCUGUUCUCUGGCUGAUCCUUUAUCAUCUUCUUUUUUUUUUCUUUUUGCGGUACGCGGGCCUCUCACUGCUGUGACCUCUCCCGUUGCGGAGCACAGGCUCUGGACGCGCAGGCUCAGCGGACAUGGCUCACGGGCCCAGCCACUCCGCAGCAUGCAGGAUCUUCCUGGACCGGGGCACAAACCCGCAUCCCCUGCAUCGGCAGGCAGACUCUCAACCACUGCGCCACCAGGGAAGCCCUCCUUUAUCAUCUUUUUCCAGGCCUUCUCCUCUUCCCCCUCCCCGUCAACAACAAGUUGGUGUUCCAAGGCUCACAGUUCUUCUCAC